rnacentral:rRNA from 1 species
ACGGAGGGUGCAAGCGUUGUUCGGAAUUAUUGGGCGUAAAGCGCGCGCAGGUGGACUGCAGGGUCUGGUGUGAAAGCCCUCGGCUCAACCGAGGAAGCGCAUUGGAAACCGGUAGUCUUGAGUCCCGGAGAGGGUAGCGGAAUUCCCAGUGUAGAGGUGAAAUUCGUAGAUAUUGGGAGGAACCCCGGUGGCGAAGGCGGCUACCUGGACGGUGACUGACGCUGAGGCGCGAAAGCAUGGGGAGCAAACAG